rnacentral:rRNA from 1 species
AGGUACAAGGUUCAACCACGUUAAACAACUCUAUAGAAAGCAAGAACUUAGUGGCACUGGAGUUUUACCUUCGGUUGGGGCGACCACGGGGGAAAGAUAAGCCUCCGAGUGGACUGGGCCGAGACCCCUAAAGCCAAAAGAGACAUCUUUAAGCCGCAGAACAUCUGACCAACAAUGAUCCGACUAAAUAGCCGAUCAACGAACCAAGUUACCCUAGGGAUAACAGCGCAAUCCUCUCCCAGAGCCCAUAUCGACGAGGGGGUUUACGACCUCGAUGUUGGAUCAGGACAUCCUAAUGGUGCAGCCGCUAUUAAG